CAACUGUGAACGGUGGAUCACUCGGCUCGGGCGUCGAUGAAGAACCCUGCUAGCUGUGAGAACAAUAGUGGAAUUGCAGGACACAUUGAUCAU
rnacentral:rRNA from 1 species